ACUCCUACGGGAGGCAGCAGUGGGGAAUAUUGCACAAUGGGCGCAAGCCUGAUGCAGCCAUGCCGCGUGUAUGAAGAAGGCCUUCGGGUUGUAAAGUACUUUCAGCAGUGAGGAAGGCGGAGUCGUUAAUAGCGGCCUCGUUUGACGUUAGCUGCAGAAGAAGCACCGGCUAACUCCGUGCCAGCAGCCGCGGUAAUACGGAGGGUGCGAGCGUUAAUCGGAAUUACUGGGCGUAAAGCGCAUGCAGGUGGUUUGUUAAGUCAGAUGUGAAAGCUCGGGGCUCAACCUCGGAAUUGCAUUUGAAACUGGCAGACUAGAGUACUGUAGAGGGGGGUAGAAUUUCAGGUGUAGCGGUGAAAUGCGUAGAGAUCUGAAGGAAUACCGGUGGCGAAGGCGGCCCCCUGGACAGAUACUGACACUCAGAUGCGAAAGCGUGGGGAGCAAACAGGAUUAGAUACCC
rnacentral:rRNA from 1 species